GACGAACGCUGGCGGCGUGCCUAAUACAUGCAAGUAGAACGCUGAAGGAGGAGCUUGCUCUUCUGGAUGAGUUGCGAACGGGUGAGUAACGCGUAGGUAACCUGCCUGGUAGCGGGGGAUAACUAUUGGAAACGAUAGCUAAUACCGCAUAAGAGUAGAUGUUGCAUGACAUUUGCUUAAAAGGUGCAAUUGCAUCACUACCAGAUGGACCUGCGUUGUAUUAGCUAGUUGGUGGGGUAACGGCUCACCAAGGCGACGAUACAUAGCCGACCUGGGAGGGUGAUCGGCCACACUGGGACUGAGACACGGCCCAGACUCCUACGGGAGGCAGCAGUAGGGAAUCUUCGGCAAUGGACGGAAGGCUGACCGAGCAACGCCGCGUGAGUGAAGAAGGUUUUCGGAUCGUAAAGCUCUGUUGUAAGAGAAGAACGAGUGUGAGAGUGGAAAGUUCACACUGUGACGGUAUCUUACCAGAAAGGGACGGCUAACUACGUG
rnacentral:rRNA from 1 species